GCAGAAGAGGACAGUGGAACUCCAUGUGUAGCGGUGGAAUGCGUAGAUAUAUGGAAGAACACCAGUGGCGAAGGCGGCUGUCUAGUCNGUAACUGACGCUGAGGCUCGAAAGCAUGGGUAGCGAACAGGAUUAGAUACCCUGGUAGUCCAUGCCGUAAACGAUGAGUGCUAAGUGUUGGAGGGUUUCCGCCCUUCAGUGCUGCAGCUAACGCAUUAAGCACUCCGCCUGGGGAGUACGACCGCAAGGUUGAAACUCAAAGGAAUUGACGGGGGCCCGCACAAGCGGUGGAGCAUGUGGUUUAAUUCGAAGCUACGCGAAGAACCUUACCAGGUCUUGACAUCUUCUGCCAAUCUUAGAGAUAAGACGUUCCCUUCGGGGACAGAAUGACAGGUGGUGCAUGGUUGUCGUCAGCUCGUGUCGUGAGAUGUUGGGUUAAGUCCCGCAACGAGCGCAACCCUUAUUAUCAGUUGCCAGCAUUCAGUUGGGCACUCUGGUGAGACUGCCGGUGACAAACCGGAGGAAGGUGGGGAUGACGUCAAAUCAUCAUGCCCCUUAUGACCUGGGCUACACACGUGCUACAAUGGACGGUACAACGAGUUGCGAACUCGCGAGAGUAAGCUAAUCUCUUAAAGCCAUUCUCAGUUCGGAUUGUAGGCUGCAACUCGCCUACAUGAAGUCGGAAUCGCUAGUAAUCGCGGAUCAGCAUGCCGCGGUGAAUACGUUCCCGGGCCUUGUACACACCGCCCGUCACACCAUGAGAGUUUGUAACACCCAAAGUCGGUGGGGUAACCUUUUAGGAACCAGCCGCCUAAGGUGGGACAGAUGAUUAGGGUGAAGUCGUAANCAAGGUAGCCGUA
rnacentral:rRNA from 1 species